AAAUUCGAUUUCUGCAGCUCUGGGGACAGGACCUUUUACUCCUGACCAAUCAGUUCCCUUUGCCAAAACCACAGCCGCCUAACCAUUGGCUGGGUUGUUCCAUCAAUCAAAUCUCAGGAAAUAGCUACCCACUUGAACAAGAGAGAAUGAAGUAAAUAAAACCAAAAUGAUCUAUUUGAAGGUGGAGCGGGAGUAAGACCACUAGAAAGCAGCAUGCUGCCAGACCACCACAGGACCCUAGAGAUAUUAAGUCAAUGCUUAUGAACCAGAUAUUGAAUUUGAAUUGCCCAUCUAUAUCAAUGACUCUAAGCAAAUGGCCUCAGCCUGCUGUGACAAGGGCCCGGAUGGUGACAUGCUUCAAGCUGCCUGACUGAAUACGGGGGCCUUCAGCAGAACCUUCCCUUUGAUUACAGCAAGAGUCUCCUUAUUAAGUCUCAUAGCCAUUUAACAUGUACUUUAUGUAACCACUCAAAUUCUCACUUAUACGAAUACAUGAACAGACUUAUAUUCACUUGCCUCUGGCUGUGUUUACAGGCAGCCCAAUUCUGAUAUUUUUUCCACUAAUUGGUCUUUUGACCAAUCCCAGAUCUUUUCACAUUGGUUCAUUUUUCAGAGCUGAUUGAUCAAAAGACUAAUUGGUGGGAGAAAAAAGUGUCAGACUUGGGCUGCCUGUCUAAACACAGCCUAUUUGUCCUAUUCUUCAGGCUUGUCUGGGAUAUAUAUCUUUUAGUUGGCACACCUGUGUGAUAUCUUUUAUAUAUGAAUAAUACUUUUUUCACCCUGGAUAUGAGACUUGCAUUGAUUUUUAGACCUCUUUGAAUCAGAAGUGCAGUCUUGAUGGAUAAAGUCUGCAUGUUGUCAGAUGUUUAAGUAGUAGUUAGUAGUAUAGUAGUUCGUCAAAAUGAGAAGACCAGGCUGAAACAGUCGUGGUUUUGUAAAAAUUAACAUGAGUAGUUUAUACAAAACUUGAUUGCAUUUGGUGGUCAUCCCUCCCCCAAAUUUGACCAUUUUAAAGCCUUGAUAUUUCCCUGAGGAAGGAUGCAACUUUCUGCUGAUACCUACCACCAUGUUGUCAGCUUUUUUGAUGUGCUGCUCUAGUGUAUUCUGCACCAGGAAUCUGUUCCAUGGCCCAGCAGACUCCCCUGGGGAUGGGAGAUGGACAUGUUUAGUUUUUAUAAAAGUCUGGGAGACUUUUUUUAAAGGAAGGCGAGUGCAUUAGUUUGAGUGAGUACAGUAAGAGAGUUGACAUUGACGAUUGAGGGUUAUAAGGGUGCCUUCCAAUCACACAAAUUAUGCGUAAAAGACGGGGGGGCUAGACUUGUGUUGUGCUGUCCGUCAGAAAAGUUCCAAAGACUAUCCAUCAACCAAUUACAUACGUAAAACAGCAUUUUACCUCACCAAACAGAUACGUGUUUCAUGUGUUUAGGUUUGAAGGUAGCCUUACUCUGUGGUUCAAGUUGCAUCUUCAUGUCUAACUUCACUCUCACUCCGUCUGACCCCUAAGCCCUCAUGCCUGACCUCCCAUUGGCCCAGGGCCUCUGGCAAAACCCUCUAAUCAGUCUCUCUGACAGGGAGUUACUCCAGGAGUUGACAGGUUUAUGGUGCAUAAGGUAUCUAUGUGUAUGCAUGCAUGACUUACAUGGGGUGCUCCAUGUUCCUGCUGGUUGUAGGGAAAUAGCAUGCCUUGGAGUAUGGUUGUAUCCAUCUUCACCAGGCUCCUGGAAAUCAUAUGACAAACAUGCAUAGAUUAACAAAAUAAAAUGGCAACUGUAUUUAUGCAGUUGAAAUCAUGACAGCCAUAGGUUCUUUACACAGGAGUGUACAGGAUUUUGUUCCAACACCUCAUUCAACUAAUUGUGGUCUAAAUUGAACAAACACUUGUACACAGUUCAGUCACCUGGCCCAGAAAUCACCCACGUCCGUAUUAUUGAAUGAGCUUCCCAAGUUACAAGUUUAGCUACAAUUCUGCAUGAUAGAAAUAGAUCCACCCAGGUUAUUCUCUAUCUAACCAUGUGAAUAAACCCCCUAAACAAAGAUGAUUAUCCUGGUGGUUAGGAGGUUCCCAAGUUCUUGACAUCUGUCUGGGUGUUAGGGAUGUGCUUCAACCUGAGGAAAAUGGCAGAGAGGGGGAAGACAUUAACCCCACUGCUUACAUUUCAGUGCUGGUUCAAGUUGCUGAGAACCACAUGUACCUUAAGUUUUUCAGUCACCAAAUAAACAAUGAACAGGCAGUGAGGUAGUUUGACAAGUGUUCAAAGUCAGUAACAAGUCUUUAAAAUAUAGCUAGCAUGUUGGCAAGUACCUGGCCAGCAAUCUUCACCUGUCGACGGCAACAGCUUUCACAGGCUCAUCAUAAUGUAAAAAUAACCCCAUUUUAAAACAUUUGAUUUAAACUGACAUUAUUUGUUUCAUAUAAUGUCCAGGACAUAACCUAGCCUGGUGGGUCCAGCCUGAUCUUUUUUACCAUUCUAUUUCACUUCACUUUUGAUGAUAUCUGCAGUGAAGUAGAAAGGUGAACGAAGCGAUCCGGUUGGUUCCACCAGGACCAGGCUAUUUAGAACCACCAUUGAUAAUGUAAUCAGUGCUCUGUGUGUGUGUGACCCACCAGUACCUUUGAGGGGCCAGGAGCUGCUCUAUGCUGCUAUGCCCAUCAAUGGAGCUGUAGAAAAAAACCUCACCUUCAGCCUCACCUUUUGCCUGCUCACCAACAGUUGUCAAUAGGGAGAACAGAAUUAGAAACAUGUAUGGAGGCAGCACAUGGAGACUUGCAAGAUGAUGUGAAGUCCAGACUGACAGGCGGGCUUGAUACUGAUGUCUCUGAAUGGAGAAAGACCUGGCACUCGGCAGUAACAUUUUACAAGACAACUUUUACCAUUUAAUUCAAUAAAAAAAAAUAAAGGAUCAGACAAGAUGUGGAGGGAGAAACCCUGUGUAUUCUGCACCAGGAUCAGGGAACUGCUGUUGUGAACAGGACACCACACAGGAAUUAUUAUAUAUUAUAAUAUUAUGUGAAGUGUUGUUUAUUCUACACGGACCUGUGACUACAUCUGAAAGUUAGCAAAACACUUAGUUCAGAAUAUAUACAUACAUUUAGCAAUUACAUUCAUCUCAUGUUACUCUUCAGGCUGCUGAUCUAUUCAAAGCUUCUCUAUAUCUGCCUGUAGUUAUUGAGCUCAACCUGCAGGAGGUUUGUUUGUUGUAACUGAGUGGGGGAAACAGUUGUGGGCAAGGUUCUGACAGAUGGGUGUGUUUUGGUGGUGGCAAGGACAAACAAACACUCAUCAAACCACCAACUCAGGUUUGGCUUCUGUCAUGGCCACCAGCAUUUCUUGAGGAGCAAGCAUCACACAAUCUCAGUGCAUACAGUUGAUUUUAUUAAAACAUUAUGUAUUAAAAAAAUACAUGUCUACCAAUCGAUUGUCAAAAGAACAGACGACUCGGUCGACUAACUUUAUUUUAUUUUUUUUAGUCGAGGACAGCCCUAAAUUUUAUAAACUGCAAUCAUUUUCUCAUUACAGUUGUCUUGGGGGGAAAAAUGAAGUAGUUGAAUGGAAGUAAUAUACAUCAUAUAGCCUACACAAUAUGUAACAGACUUUUUAGGUGU